GACAGAGGUGCCGAGCGUUAGGCGGAAUCACUGGGCUUAAAGCGUGUGUAGGCGGGUCGUUAAGUGUCUUGUGAAAUCCCACCGCUCAACGGUGGAACUGCUGGGCAUACUGGCGAUCUUGAGCCACCUAGGGGCAGACGGAACAAGCGGUGGAGCGGCGAAAUGCGUAGAUAUCGCUUGGAACGCCGACGGUGAAAACAGUCUGCUGGGGGUGUGCUGACGCUGAGACACGGAAGCCAGGGGAGCGAACGGG
rnacentral:rRNA from 1 species